rnacentral:rRNA from 1 species
GCCAGACUCCUACGGGAGGCAGCAGUGAGGAAUAUUGGUCAAUGGGCGGGAGCCUGAACCAGCCAAGCCGCGUGAGGGAAGAAGGUACAGCGUAUCGUAAACCUCUUUUGUCAGGGAACAAAGGCGGGGACUAGUCCCCGGAUGAGGGUACCUGAAGAAAAAGCAUCGGCUAACUCCGUGCCAGCAGCCGCGGUAAUACGGAGGAUGCGAGCGUUAUCCGGAUUUAUUGGGUUUAAAGGGUGCGUAGGCGGAAUGCCAAGUCAGCGGUAAAAUCGCGGGGCUCAACCUCGCUCCGCCGUUGAAACUGCGUUUCUUGAGUGGGCGAGAAGUACGCGGAAUGCGUGGUGUAGCGGUGAAAUGCAUAGAUAUCACGCAGAACUCCGAUUGCGAAGGCAGCGUACCGGCGCCCAACUGACGCUGAAGCACGAAGGCGUGGGUAUCGAACAGGAUUAGAUACCCCAGUAG